AGUGAACGCUGGCGGUAGGCCUAACACAUGCAAGUCGAACGGCAGCACAGUAAGAGCUUGCUCUUACGGGUGGCGAGUGGCGGACGGGUGAGGAAUACAUCGGAAUCUACUUUUUCGUGGGGGAUAACGUAGGGAAACUUACGCUAAUACCGCAUACGACCUACGGGUGAAAGCAGGGGAUCUUCGGACCUUGCGCGAUUGAAUGAGCCGAUGUCGGAUUAGCUAGUUGGCGGGGUAAAGGCCCACCAAGGCGACGAUCCGUAGCUGGUCUGAGAGGAUGAUCCGCCACACUGGGACUGAGACACGGGCCAGACUCCUACGGGAGGCAGCAGUUGGGAAUUUUGGACAAUGGGGGCAAGCCUGAUCCAGCCAUACCGCGUGGGUGAAGAAGGCCUUCGGGUUGUAAAGCCCUUUUGUUGGGAAAGAAAAGCAGCAGGUUAAUACCCCGCUGUUCUGACGGUACCCAAAGAAUAAGCACCGGCUAACUUCGUG
rnacentral:rRNA from 1 species